rnacentral:rRNA from 1 species
GGGGCUAAACCAUGCACCGAAGCUGCGGCAGCGACACUGUGUGUUGUUGGGUAGGGGAGCGUUCUGUAAGCCUGUGAAGGUGUGUCGUGAGGCAUGCUGGAGGUAUCAGAAGUGCGAAUGCUGACAUAAGUAACGAUAAAGCGGGUGAAAAGCCCGCUCGCCGGAAGACCAAGGGUUCCUGUCCAACGUUAAUCGGGGCAGGGUGAGUCGACCCCUAAGGCGAGGCCGAAAGGCGUAGUCGAUGGGAAACGGGUUAAUAUUCCCGUACUUGGUGUUACUGCGAAGGGGGGACGGAGAAGGCUAUGUUGGCCGGGCGACGGUUGUCCCGGUUUAAGCGUGUAGGUGUGUGUUCCAGGUAAAUCCGGUUCACUUUAACACUGAGGCGUGACGACGAGGCACUACGGUGCUGAAGCAACAAAUGCCCUGCUUCCAGGAAAAGCCUCUAAGCAUCAGGUAACAUCAAAUCGUACCCCAAACCGACACAGGUGGUCAGGUAGAGAAUACCAAGGCGCUUGAGAGAACUCGGGUGAAGGAACUAGGCAAAAUGGUGCCGUAACUUCGGGAGAAGGCACGCUGACACGUAGGUGAAGUGAUUUACUCAUGGAGCUGAAGUCAGUCGAAGAUACCAGCUGGCUGCAACUGUUUAUUAAAAACACAGCACUGUGCAAACACGAAAGUGGACGUAUACGGUGUGACGCCUGCCCGGUGCCGGAAGGUUAAUUGAUGGGGUCAGCGCAAGCGAAGCUCCUGAUCGAAGCCCCGGUAAACGGCGGCCGUAACUAUAACGGUCCUAAGGUAGCGAAAUUCCUUGUCGGGUAAGUUCCGACCUGCACGAAUGGCGUAAUGAUGGCCAGGCUGUCUCCACCCGAGACUCAGUGAAAUUGAACUCGCUGUGAAGAUGCAGUGUACCCGCGGCAAGACGGAAAGACCCCGUGAACCUUUACUAUAGCUUGACACUGAACAUUGAGCCUUGAUGUGUAGGAUAGGUGGGAGGCUUUGAAGUGUGGACGCCAGUCUGCAUGGAGCCGACCUUGAAAUACCACCCUUUAAUGUUUGAUGUUCUAACGUGGACCCGUUACCCGGGUUGCGGACAGUGUCUGGUGGGUAGUUUGACUGGGGCGGUCUCCUCC